rnacentral:misc_RNA from 1 species
AAAAAAAAAAAAAAAAGAGAUUUUUAUGAAUUUUAUUUUAUAAAUAAUCACAUUUAAAUAUUAAAAAUGAAAUUUCGUACGAAAAUAAAUAAACUAAGGUAAAUAAAAUAAUAACGAAAAUAAUCACGAUGGGAACAAAACAAUACAAUUAAAACUCCUACAAUUACACUAAUAACAUAUAAAGCCUAUAUAUUUCAAGAACGUAGGAAAUUCACAGCAAUAUUCCCAUCAGGUUAUACCAAAACUGUACUAAUAGUAAGUUUAUCAAAUUCAGUCCCUACAUUUUGUCUAAAUCUGCCUCCUAUAAAAUUUAUGUAGAAUCAUAAGAGGACAAACGCAAAAAUUCUAUAGUUUUCUAUUUAAAAAAAAAAAACAGAAAUACUAA